rnacentral:rRNA from 1 species
GUCCACGCUGUAAACGAUGUCGACUUGGAGGUUGUUCCCUUGAGGAGUGGCUUCCGGAGCUAACGCGUUAAGUCGACCGCCUGGGGAGUACGGCCGCAAGGUUAAAACUCAAAUGAAUUGACGGGGCCCGCACAAGCGGUGGAGCAUGUGGUUUAAUUCGAUGCAACGCGAAGAACCUUACCUACUCUUGACAUCCAGAGAACUUAGCAGAGAUGCUUUGGUGCCUUCGGGAACUCUGAGACAGGUGCUGCAUGGCUGUCGU